AACGAACGCUGGCGGCGUGGAUAAGACAUGCAAGUCGAACGGAGAAUUUUAAUAGCUUGCUAAUGAAAUUCUUAGUGGCGGACGGGUUAGUAACACGUGAGAAUCCUACCCUUAAGUGGGGAAUAGCCUUUCGAAAGGAAGAUUAAUGCCCCAUGGUCUCUACGGAGUAAAGAUGCCUUCGGGUGUCGCUUAAGGAUGGGCUCGCGGCCUAUCAGCUAGUUGGUGAGGUAAGAGCUCACCAAGGCAACGACGGGUAGCUGGUCUGAGAGGACGAUCAGCAACACUGGAACUGAGACACGGUCCAGACACCUACGGGUGGCAGCAGUCGAGAAUCAUUCACAAUGGACGCAAGUCUGAUGGUGCAACGCCGCGUGGAGGAUGAAGGCCCUAGGGUUGUAAACUCCUGUCAUCAGGGAGUAAGACUUGGUUGUCAAUAGCCUCCAAGUUUGAUAGUACCUGAAGAGGAAGGGACGGCUAACUUCGUGCCAGCAGCCGCGGUAAUACGAAGGUCCCAAGCGUUGUUCGGAAUAACUGGGCGUAAAGCGUGUGUAGGCUGCGCGGAAAGUCGGAUGUGAAAGCCCAAGGCUUAACCUUGGAACUGCAUCCGAUACUCCCGCGCUAGAGUAAUGGAGAGGUAAGUGGAAUUUUCGGUGUAGCAGUGAAAUGCGUAGAUAUCGAGAGGAACAUCAAUGGCGAAGGCAACUUACUGGACAUUCACUGACGCUCAGACACGAAGGCUAGGGGAGCGAAAGGGAUUAGAUACCCCUGUAGUCCUAGCAGUAAACGGUGCUCGCUU
rnacentral:rRNA from 1 species